rnacentral:lncRNA from 1 species
CAUGUAUCUCCCAAAUAUCUCGUUUCUUAUUUUUAUCAGCAUUACAGAGGAAUACAUCUGUGGUGAAGGUUUCCACAAAUCUAAUAGCAAUGCUGUUAUUUCUGAUUUUAUAUAGAGAUUUUUAUUUAGGGAUCACAAAUGCUUUACAAAUGUAGCCUUACCUGUCUGCCCAUACUAAUCCCUCCCCACUUUCUUGCUUACAGAUGGAGAAAGGGAAGCAAGGAGGUUAGGCAUGAUUUUAUACAAAUGUCCCUGAUAUUUGGAAAGACUGUCAAGGAGACAGGGUUCUUCUCUGAGCCCUGGCUAGCUAUUCCAGCACCCAUACCAGGCUUUUUCUCAAGGGAGAAAAUGAACUAUCUCACACAGCAUGUUUACAGCCCAAUAUGUAAGGCAAAACGGCAAAACACAGGAAAUGACAAUUUCAUUUGUGUGUGCUGGACAACAGGGAAAGGUGAGCAGACCGUCUUCUACAUUAGGCCUUAUUCGUCAGUUAAGCCUUCUAACUCUCAUGCUUAAUAGGCUUAGACUGAAAAGACCAGUGUCCCAGGGACUUUUAAUUUUCUCCUAAGUAUCUGCUUUCCAAUGAGAACAGUAGAAUUACAAAUUUUGGAAACCAAAGGGAGCUUAGAGACUCUCUAACACCCUGACUUUACAGAUGGUGAGUGAGGCUGAGAGAGGUGAAGUUACACGAUGAGGUAAUGGCAAAGUCAGGACUUGAACUCGACUGUUUCCCUUUUAUUUAUUUAUAAUAUGGGCCUCCUCUACAGCAAGCACUGUGCUAGUUGCUGUGGAUGAGACAGAUCCAGACUCUGAGGGAUGAAAACUUACUGGGUCUGUCUCCUUUCUACUGGAUCCAUGGGCUCGAUUGGCUGGAUGUUGACUUCCUGAGGAAGCAUGUUUGUGAUUUAAAGUAAUGUUUAAGAAAUAUAAAUUCCUAGGUAAUGUUUUUAAUCCUAAUCUGUUCUUCCACUUUUAACAGUAUGGCUUUCCAGGAAAGUUAUCUUAAACUAGCUUUGCUGAUGUCUCCCUCUUCCCAUCCUUCUAGUUUGUUUGAAGUUGACAUUAGAAGUUACUGUCCUAGUAAUUUUCUUUGUGCUAGUGGUUGCUUCUGUUUCCACUGUUCUGCAGUGCUGGUGGUCCAGCAGGAAACCCCGAGAAGGAAGCUACCAAAGAUCAUGAAAGAGAAGGCCGGCCCUUUCCGGUACUCCACAGACUGCCCAUCUUAAGGCUCAUUCCCAUGAAGAUUUCCCCUAUAGGCAGGUUUCUGAGAUUGCUCAGAAGUAAUUUUUUCUCUCCUCUCUGUAUCUUCUUUUUCUUCCUGUCUUGGCAGAUGCUAGAACAAAGAACUAGGUCCUAUGUCUGCCAGCAUGAAGCCUUGUCAUUGGCUUUUUU